rnacentral:rRNA from 1 species
UACAGAGGUGGCAAGCGUUGUUCGGAAUUACUGGGCGUAAAGGGCGCGUAGGCGGGCCACCAAGUCAGGGGUGAAAUCCCACGGCUCAACCGUGGAAGUGCCUCUGAUACUUGUGGCCUCGAGGGGUGCAGGGGCGUGCGGAACUCAGGGUGGAGCGGUGAAAUGCGUAGAUAUCCUGAGGAACACCGGUGGCGAAAGCGGCGCGCUGGACACCUUCUGACGCUGAGGCGCGAAAGCCAGGGGAGCAAACGGG